AGAGGUAUCCAAUAUAUUUUAAACAAGAAAAACUAAAUAUAAUUAAUUAGUUGACUAAAACAGUGACUACUGUGUCUGAAUAUUUGAAACUGAAAUUCACUAUCAAUUAAAUAUGAAUACGCUACUUAUUUUCAUUGAAUUAUACCAUGCUAAAUUAUAAAAUUAAUACCUACUAAAUAUUAUUUAUAACAAUAAAGGUUGGAAACUUCUAAGUCCUUUAACUAUAAGAGUUAAAAUAAAAUAUUUACAAAAGAAAUCUCUAAUAGGUAUGUAAAUGAUAUUGGGGAUAAGAGCGCCACUGUUGUAGGUGGAAAGUCUGGAAGGUAGGUUACAUAAAGUUAUUUGAUUUAUACCGGUAAGUAACAAUAACUAAUUGCCAAUGAAAAACAAUUCAGAGCAAAUUUCAGUUGUACGUGUUUUGAAAGGCAAUAAUAUUUAUGAUUUUCGUAAAAAAUUUGCUUUUAAAACUUAUAAUAAAAAAAAAAAAUACAAUACAAUAUUAAAUUUUUUUUUGACCACUCAAUACGAUUUAUGAACCUCCUAUCAAAAUUUUAAUUAUUCCUAUUUAAUCUAACGAAUAUCUACAGAGUAUCUACAAAUAAAAAUUAAGCAAACAUACAAAGCACAUUUUUUUUCAAAAUGUAAAAUUUCUACAAAUAUUUUUAACUAAAUUAUAAUUCAAUACAUGUUUUUUUUGCUUUUGCUUUAUUAUUAAAAAAAAGUAAAAGGAAAAUCAAAAAAUCAAUUUUCUUGGGUCAUCAACAAAAUGAAAAAUGCAACAAAAAAGGACUUUGGUUGUUUUUCUAUUAGAGCAAUAUUUAUGGUAGAAAGCAUAAGCCGUAUAUUUCUUUUGUUUUCUAUCUUUUUCAGGUUUUCCCCGAUUUUCCCAAUUAAAAUAAAAAUUACUUAGAAAAUUAAAGAAUGAUUUCUCUUAUUCAUCAACUAGAUAAAAUUUUCUUUCAGAAAAGAUGCUACACUUUAUACAUCGGAGGAAGAUUUGUCUUUGUAAUUUUUACACAUUGAAAAAAAAAUUACACAUGGUAAAAUCAGUAGAUCCCUUGUUACGCUUCAAAUCUAAAACUAUCUAAUGUUAAAAGCACGAAAAAAUUAUUAUAUUUAAAAUAUGGCGAAAACCUGUUGACAUUUUAUUGAACUGAAAAAUU